UCGAGGGUUCCUGUUAAAUUACACACGUGUAUCACUGCCUGAUUGGAAACCCCACUUUUCCUUUCUAAUCCAGCACAAUAUCAAACUGUGAUUCUAUAACUUGUCUUUUUAAUAGCUACAAAUAACCCAACAUCUUUUUUUUUUUUUAUGGAAAACUUUUCUUUUUAGCACUAACUGCAAAGUGCUUAGCAAAAGGUUCCUUCUGGAUAACAGAGCACUGCUAUUAUUAUUAUUGCUAUCAUUGUUAUUCCUCCUUCUUCAACUUGUUGGAAGACUUGCCCCUCCAAACGAGCAUUUCCAAAAGACAGUUUUCAGAAACUUCACAUUUCACCUAAUGAAAGCUGUGCAUAUGUUAGUCUGUGCAUUAGGUCUCUGCUAGUGUGUCCCAUGUCCAUAGCCUCCAUGGGGUGAUGCCCAUCUGCAGAUGUUAGAAACCACCCCAUGGGGACCUGGGAGUAGCAUCAGUGUGGUUCACUUUGGGUAGCUGGGUACUCACGUGUAUAUACUUAGAUUUGCAUCAUUCAAACCUCCUCUCUGCUUUUCCGCACGCACUUCUAGCUCUUCUGCUAUUUUAAAAUUCACUGGGUUUUGGUGAACACCAACAUAAAUGUAAGCGAUGAUUGCUUUCCUGAGCAGGCGUGAUUUGUUGUAUGGCUGUUUAAGUUAUAAAGUUGUUCUCAUAUUGUAGGUGAAUAAAAUCUUGCUGUUUUUAAAGGUCACUGUAACUCGAGAUUAAAAUUUCUGGCACAAUUUUAUGAGUGUUCACUUCUGAAGCUAAUAAGACAAUAGAGUUUUCUAUGUUACUCUCACUGUAACAUCGAUAAAGUGACUUUGAAUAAAAGAUUUCUGUUAUUUU
rnacentral:lncRNA from 1 species